rnacentral:rRNA from 1 species
AGUGAACGCUGGCGGUAGGCCUAACACAUGCAAGUCGAACGGCAGCACAGUAAGAGCUUGCUCUUACGGGUGGCGAGUGGCGGACGGGUGAGGAAUACAUCGGAAUCUACUUUUUCGUGGGGGAUAACGUAGGGAAACUUACGCUAAUACCGCAUACGACCUACGGGUGAAAGCAGGGGAUCUUCGGACCUUGCGCGAUUGAAUGAGCCGAUGUCGGAUUAGCUAGUUGGCGGGGUAAAGGCCCACCAAGGCGACGAUCCGUAGCUGGUCUGAGAGGAUGAUAGGCCAAACGGGAACUGAGACACGGUCCAGACUCCUACGGGAGGCAGCAGGGGGGAAUCUGGCACAAUGGGCGAAAGCCUGACCGAGCAACGCCGCGUGAGUGAAGAAGGCCUUCGGGUCGUAAAACUUUGUUAUUAGAAAAAAAAAGAAGUGUAAGUAACCCCGCACUUCUUGACGGUACCUAAAAAAAAAGCCCCGGCUAACUACGUG